UUAACUAUUAUAUAGUACUCAGACGUCAAAAACAAUAGAGUUGUGGCCUCUGGCGAGCACGGUCAGCGUGGGCCGACGCCUUAGAGGCGGCCCGCCAAAGCAACGCGGUUAUAUAUUCAAGGGUUUUCAGACAGCCCCACCGAAGCGAGACCCGCAAUGGCGCUGUUUCCAGCGCCAAAUUAAUGAUCCUUCCGCAGGUUCACCUACGGAAA
rnacentral:misc_RNA from 1 species